rnacentral:rRNA from 1 species
AUUCCUUCUUUGAGCCUUCUGCACAACGACUAUAACCAUGUGCAUAGUCCCUGUAAACCAGGGGCAACGUCACCUACGUGCUGGAAUCCACUUCUGUGGGGACCAACAGCCGGGUAUAUAUCUAUUAGGUUAUAUCUGGUCUACAGAUUAGGCGGUGGCGGUCAGUAUGUUUGUCUUUUUUGUGAUAAUGAUGAUAUAAUUUAUCGGCUAUAAGAUAUAGCUCUCCACGUUAUUGAUCCUACACCAUUACAAAGGGCAGGUACUACUGAUCAAGAUAUAAUCGGUCGCUAUUGCCAGUAUAAAUAGCUGAGAAACGUUCCGUAGGUGAACCUGCGGAAGGAUCAUUA